rnacentral:rRNA from 1 species
CAGCAGCAGCCGCGGUAAAACGUAGGGUGCAAGCGUUAAUCGGAAUUACUGGGCGUAAAGCGUGCGCAGGCGGUUAUAUAAGACAGAUGUGAAAUCCCCGGGCUCAACCUGGGAACUGCAUUUGUGACUGUAUAGCUAGAGUACGGCAGAGGGGGAUGGAAUUCCGCGUGUAGCAGUGAAAUGCGUAGAUAUGCGGAGGAACACCGAUGGCGAAGGCAACCCCCUGGACCUGUACUGACGCUCAUGCACGAAAGCGUGGGGAGCAAACAGGAUUAGAUACCCCCGUAGUCCCUGUCUCUUAUAC